rnacentral:rRNA from 1 species
GACGAACGCUGGCGGCGUGCUUAACACAUGCAAGUCGAACGGAAAGGUCCUGCGCUUGUGGGGUGCUCGAGUGGCGAACGGGUGAGUAACACGUGAGUAACCUGCCCUUGACUUUGGGAUAACUUCAGGAAACUGGGGCUAAUACCGGAUAGGAGCUCCUGCUGCAUGGUGGGGGUUGGAAAGUUUCGGCGGUUGGGGAUGGACUCGCGGCUUAUCAGCUUGUUGGUGGGGUAGUGGCUUACCAAGGCUUUGACGGGUAGCCGGCCUGGGAGGGUGAACGGCCACAUUGGGACUGAGAUACGGCCCAGACUCCUACGGGAGGCAGCAGUGGGGAAUAUUGCACAAUGGGCGGAAGCCUGAUGCAGCAACGCCGCGUGCGGGAUGACGGCCUUCGGGUUGUAAACCGCUUUCGCCUGUGACGAAGCGUGAGUGACGGUAAUGGGUAAAGAAGCACCGGCUAACUACGUG